rnacentral:rRNA from 1 species
AUUGAACGCUGGCGGCAUGCUUUACACAUGCAAGUCGGACGGCAGCGCGGGCUUCGGCCUGGCGGCGAGUGGCGAACGGGUGAGUAAUACAUCGGAACGUGCCCAGUAGUGGGGGAUAGCUCGGCGAAAGCCGGAUUAAUACCGCAUACGACCUGAGGGUGAAAGCGGGGGACUUUAGGGCCUCGCGCUAUUGGAGCGGCCGAUGGCAGAUUAGCUAGUUGGUGGGGUAAAGGCCUACCAAGGCGACGAUCUGUAGCUGGUCUGAGAGGACGACCAGCCACACUGGGACUGAGACACGGCCCAGACUCCUACGGGAGGCAGCAGUGGGGAAUGUUGGACAAUGGGCGCAAGCCUGAUCCAGCAAUGCCGCGUGUGUGAUGAAGGCCUUCGGGUUGUAAAGCACUUUUGGCAGGAACGAAAAGUGCCGUGCUAAUACCACGGUACGAUGACGGUACCUGCAGAAUAAGCACCGGCUAACUACGUG